UGUGACGGCGUGCCUUUUGUAGAAUGAGCCAGCGAGUUGCGGUGUGCGGCGAGGUUAAGUUUGGAAACGAGCCGCAGCGAAAGCGAGCCUUUAAGAUGGCGAGUGAGUCGCACGCUGCAGACGCGAAGCCGGGUGAGCUAUCCUGGGGCAGGCUGAAGCGGGGGUAAGACCCCGUGGAGGGCCGAACCCACUUCGGUUGAAAACGGAGGGGAUGACCCCAGGAUAGGGGUGAAAGGCCAAUCAAACCCGGAGAUAUCUCGUUCUCCCCGAAAUAGCUUUAGGGCUAGCCUCGGCCGUUAACCCGCGGUGGUAGAGCCACCGGAUCGACGAGGGGGCUUCACCGCCUACCGACUCGAACCGAACUCCGAAUGCCGCGGGUCGAGAGGCCGGGAGUCAGAGGGCGUGGGCUAAGCUGCGCGCUCGAGAGGGAAACAGCCCAGACCGCCCGCUAAGGUCCCCAAGUCAUCGCUGAGUGGCAAAGGAUGUGCGUCUGCCCAGACAACCAGGAUGUUGGCUUAGAAGCAGCCAUGCAUUUAAAGAGUGCGUAACAGCUCACUGGUCGAGUGGACAUGCGCCGACAAUUCACGGGGCUAAGCGAUGCACCGAAGCGGCGGACUGAGAAUUCAGUGGUAGGGGAGCUCUCCGCGGGGGGCGAAGCAGCAGGGCGACCUGCUGUGGACCGCGCGGAGGUGAGAAUGCUGGCAUGAGUAACGAGACCAGGGCGAGAAACCCUGGCGCCGUGAGCCUAAGGGUUCCUGGGCGAGGCUAAUCCCCCCAGGGUCAGUCGGGAGCUAAGGCGAGGCCGAGAGGCGUAGCCGAUGCGCAGCGGGCAGACAUUCCCGCACCGCCGACGGCGCGGCAUUACCGAUGGGGCGACGGAGAAGGGUAGCCGGGCGGGGUUCUGGACGUCCCCGUGAAAGCGCGUAGGGCGCGCAGCGUGGAAA
rnacentral:rRNA from 2 species